UUUCAACAGGUGUAUGUGCACAGAAAAAUUUGAGUUUUCAGGAGGGUAACCGUUGAAAACC
rnacentral:tRNA from 1 species